UCCUGGGCCGAAGACAGGCGCCAAACUGCUGAGCCACACCCCCCCCCCCCCAAAUUUUAAAAAACCUAAUGGACCAUUUGGAAUAUUAUUCUGAAACCAGCAAGUAUUUAAAAUUUUUUCUGAACUUGGUGAAGAAAUGUUAAGUGAGAAACCCAUACCAACAUGAAAGGGCAACAACCCAGUAGAGCCCAACAAAGAAAAUUUUUAAAAAAGCAAUUGCAACAAUGUCUGGAUCUAUUUUGAAAUAUGUAAUGCCUGCAACAUUGCAUAAAGUUUAUGAAAAUUGUGGAGUGCAAGUUGGCAAAUCCAAAGCAUGGAUGCUAGAAACAACACAAGAUUCAGAUGACACAGGGAUGAAAGACAACAAUGAAUCAUUUUCUAUAACCAUUGACACCAAGGAAGAGAAAGGAAAUGUUAGCAUCCACACUGACAGAAUUGAAGGAAAAAAUAAAGGAGAAGAAAAGAGCAUGAGUAAAGCCAAGACUUUGAUGAAGAGAAGACAGUGAAUGAUAUUUUAAUCUAUUUUGAUAUUCCUGCUUGGGCAAUACCAUUUCCAGAUGAAAAAUGUUAAUCUGGUUAAGAAAGGAAGUGAACCUUUUCAGAAUAAAUACGGACCUUUCUCUGCAGUUCAAAGACAAGAAAAGGAAGCAGUCAACACAUGACAACUUCAUGACUUUAUAAAUCUUUAUCAAACACUGAAAAAAAGAGGCCAGUUUUUUCAAGACUGAAAUAAUUGUUUUGUUUUGGUUGUAGACUGUGGAUACUGGAACAAAAAAAAAAUGAAAAUCCAACCUUAUAACUGCUUUAAACUGGGUAGAAAUUAAAUCCUAAGGAGUUCCAGAUAACCCAUCAUUCUACACUUUGAUUCUAUGAUUACUUUAAGAUACUUCAAUUAUAUGGAAUCAUACAGUAUUAUUUUUGUGAUUAGCUUAUUUCACUUAGUAUAAUGACCUUUAAGGUUAUCCAUGUUGUAUCAUGUGUCAGAAUUUCCUUCCUUUUUAAUAUUCCAUUGUAUGUAUGUGCCACAUCUUAUUUAUCCAUUCAUCUGUCCAUGGAUACUUGGCUAUUGUGAAUAAUACUGCUAUAUAAACAUACAUGCUCAGAUAUGUCUUUAAGACACUGCUUUAAAUUCUUUUGGAUAUAUACGGAAGAAGUGAGAGGAGUCCCAAGUGGGCUGCUACUAGGGCUUUUAUAAAAAACUGACCAGGGAACUUAAAUCUUAAAGUCACCACUAGUAGCACCGUAUUUACUUCUCCUUUGGAGUUUGGUAACUUUCAGUGGUCAAUUUGUAACUUUCAUGAAAACAUCUUAUCUAUAGCAUUUAAGAUCAACAAGGUUGGUCUCCUUAUGUUCCCUUAUUUCUAGUUUUGUUUGUAACUAUCAUGAAAAUAUCUCGUCUAUAAUGUUUCUCCACAUCUGGGAUUUCUGUGAGCCUCGUCAGGUAGCCCACUACCUAUUUCUCCCUACCUAUUCCUAUUUGUCCCUACUCACCAGGACCCUGAGAUCAUGACCUGAGCCAAAAUUGAGUUGGAUGCUUAACUAAGCCACCCAGGCACCCCUAGAUUAGAAUUUUUAAAACACACUUCUAUGCAACCUAGAUUAACAAAAAAAUUGCAGUGGAAAUUAUUAGAACUAUGCAUGAAGAAAAACAGCAUAUGUAAAAAUUUGUGGGAUAAGCUAAUAUGGUAGUUUAACAAUGUAUAGAUUUGCCUACUUAUACAGGAAGAGAAGAAAGUUUGAAAAUUGAUGUACUAUGCAUACAACUUAGUAAGAAGAAAGAACAACAGAAUGCACUUGUAAAGUAGAAGAAAAGAAAUGAUGUUGCUAAGAAAAAAAGAGAGACAGAAAGUACAUAUUUUAGAUUUUAAAAGAGUAUAACAUAACUAUAAUUGUAGCAGUGAUGAAAAGAUAAUAAAAUGAAAUUAUGAAUAACUUGUUGCAACACAUUUGAAAACUUAUGAAAUAUUUAAUUCCUAGAAGAAAUAUAAAUUACUAACUGUAUUCAACAAGAAAUAGAAAACCUGAAUAAUUCUAUAACCACUGAGGAAAUUAAAUAGUAGUUUUAAAAACAUCGUACAAUGAAAAUAAUAGGCACAAAUUUUUGUAGGGAACUUUUACAAAACAUCUAUGUAUUAAAAAAUACAAAUAACACAAAACUUCUUCCAGAUCAUGUGGGGCUGAGGACAAGGAAGAAACAAUCAUGGUCUAGUAUACUCCUGAUAUCAAAACCAGACAAAAACAGUUUAAAAAAUGAGAAAGAAAUAUUACACGUCAAAUUCAUUUAUAAACAUGUAUGCCAAAAUCUUAAAUAUUAGCCACUGAAUUUAGCCAUACAUGAGGGAAA